rnacentral:rRNA from 1 species
AUGCCGACGUCGGGCAACGACGCCGGCGCCUGCGACGGUGACGGCUCGCCGCACGGGGUCAAGAAGAUGUGGACCAAGGAGGAGGACGACCUGCUGCGGGAGCAGGUGCGGCGCUGCGGCGGCCCGCACAACUGGGACUCCAUCUGCCGAGGGCUGCCCGGCCGCAACUCCAAGUCGUGCCGCCUCCGCUGGUGCCAGCACCUCGACCCCAGGGUGGAGGCCGUCAAGCCCUUCACCAUCCAGGAGGACAUGCUCAUCGUCAAGUACCAGGCCACCUACGGCAACCGCUGGUCCACCAUCGCCGAUUUCCUCUCCGGCCGCACCGACAAUGCCGUCAAGAAUCGCUGGAACUCUGUCCUCCGCAAGCGCCAGGAGCACGCCCCCUCCCAACAGGGCCAGACGCGCCCGUGGGCUCCUUCCGCUGCCCGACAGGCCGCGGGCCCCGAGGUCACGCCGCGGUGCCUGCCGCUGUUCCCUGGUUCGGCCGAGGAGGUGUGGGAGGCUGACACAUCUGCGGCGGCGAGGAAGUGCCUCGACCUGUUCCCUCUGGCGCCCGGGGAUAUCAGGGCCGAUGUGGAUGCAGCGGCGCCGCCCAGUGACAUGGCUUGCGGAGCAGGCGACCCGCUCACCGAGCUGAGGCUCUGGCCGGCGCCGAGAGUGGUGUUCGACGUAAUGCCGCUCCAGGCUUACCGGAUGUAG